rnacentral:rRNA from 1 species
GUGACAGCCCCGUACACAAAAAUGCACAUGCUGUGAGCUCGAUGAGUAGGGCGGGACACGUGGUAUCCUGUCUGAAUAUGGGGGGACCAUCCUCCAAGGCUAAAUACUCCUGACUGACCGAUAGUGAACCAGUACCGUGAGGGAAAGGCGAAAAGAACCCCGGCGAGGGGAGUGAAAAAGAACCUGAAACCGUGUACGUACAAGCAGUGGGAGCACAGAGCAAUCUGUGUGACUGCGUACCUUUUGUAUAAUGGGUCAGCGACUUAUAUUCUGUAGCAAGGUUAACCGAAUAGGGGAGCCGAAGGGAAACCGAGUCUUAACUGGGCGUUAAGUUGCAGGGUAUAGACCCGAAACCCGGUGAUCUAGCCAUGGGCAGGUUGAAGGUUGGGUAACACUAACUGGAGGACCGAACCGACUAAUGUUGAAAAAUUAGCGGAUGACUUGUGGCUGGGGGUGAAAGGCCAAUCAAACCGGGAGAUAGCUGGUUCUCCCCGAAAGCUAUUUAGGUAGCGCCUCGUGAAUUCAUCUCCGGGGGUAGAGCACUGUUUCGGCAAGGGGGUCAUCCCGACUUACCAACCCGAUGCAAACUGCGAAUACCGGAGAAUGUUAUCACGGGAGACACACGGCGGGUGCUAACGUCCGUCGUGAAGAGGGAAACAACCCAGACCGCCAGCUAAGGUCCCAAAGUCAUGGUUAAGUGGGAAACGAUGUGGGAAGGCCCAGACAGCCAGGAUGUUGGCUUAGAAGCAGCCAUCAUUUAAAGAAAGCGUAAUAGCUCACUGGUCGAGUCGGCCUGCGCGGAAGAUGUAACGGGGCUAAACCAUG